UUUAGUACUAUUGUUAUCAGUUUAAUCACUGUUACGCCCCCUAUCCGUUGAUGUGGAGCAAGACGCAGCAGCAGAAGAGGACCAAGCCGAGGAGGUUAUGGAAGAGGAUGGAGUAGGAGGAGUAGAGGAGGUGGCAGCGUACAGGCAGAGUACACGCUGUAGGGCUGACACACCUGCUUGAAGAUAACUAACUGCUAUUCAAUCUAUAACAGUGAAAAAUAAUUUUUGUUUUUAAAUCCAAGCUAUUGUGACA